GGGAGCGCAUGAUAGGAGUUGCCAGGCGUGGAUUAGAUGCCACUUUAAGAAACGUGAGCCCAAGUCAGUUGACCCCAGAAGUGCUAAGCACCUUAAUGACGGAGAUCGCUGCAAUCAUAAAUUCUCGACCAUUGUUACCGGAUUGCCACACACCAGAGUUGCCAUUAAAUAUGUCUCCAAAUAUGCUACUCACUAUGAAGGUUUCACUAAUAAUGGCUCCUGAAGGGCCGUUUAAUCAAAACGAUCUUCUCCGAAGCCAAUGGCGAAGAGUACAUUUUCUUGUCGAUCUUUUCUAGUCAAAGGUGCGCAAAGAUUAUUUACCUUUGCUACAAUCUAAAUCCAAGUGGCAGAAACCAAACCGUAAUUUGAAAGAAGGAGAUGUGGUGCUUGUGAAGCACAUUUGAGAGCCCCAGAAAUUGCUGGCCGCUUGGUCGCAUCAAAGACGUAGAAAGCAGUACCGGUAGCGAUGGUUAUGUAAGGAAGGGAGUGGUUGAGGUUCUACAGAAUGGGACAAGGAAAGCUAUUUCACGACCGAUAUCUGAACUUGUGCUGUUAGUACCUAACGAAUAACUCUUAGUUGUUUUAAGUAUACUGUUACUUGAAGUUGAAAGUAUAUUUGAUGAGGUCGUUAAAGACGUCAGGCGAGGAGUGUGUUGCGCAUUCAGCUACUUUUAGUAUUUUGUUAGCAUUUUGCUUGCGGCAACGUGUGUAGCCAAUUGGGUUAUUUUUUUUAAUGUUAUCUCGCAUUCUUGCGGAAAUCUGUUGUUUUUCGAGGCACUGUUUUUUGGGAGGCGGUAGGUCUAGACCUGUGAUAAUUACACUGUUUAAUCUUAGUUUAGUUCAGUUUUGUGUGUAAUUGGGGAAAUAUAUAUACUUGUAUAAUCAUAAUGAACAUGUGUCCAGUAGAAAUAUGAAUACCAGUCAAUAGCAUUACAGUUAAUAGUAUACGUGGUGUAAUUGAUUGUAAUAUCACCGCGCUGUAGUUCGAAAGGUCUGAAAGUAUAUUGAAGUUUCCAUCACAUGUGAGAUGGUUACGCUUGACUAGGCAUGGAUGUAUAGUCAUCGUCUGAUAUGCUAUGUACACGGAAGCCGUGGCAUAUUGCUAUGUUAUAUUGUUUUAUGCAUAAACCUUGAUUUAAGUUAGGUUUAACAUGUGUAAUGGGGAUUUCUUGUCUUAGGGGAUAUGGAAUUCAAGGAUAGCUGCUAAGGACUGUGUAUUAUGUCAGACAAGCCUGUAGAAGUCGACUAGUCUGUGAGUUCAUAUAUUUCAACAUGCAAUAUUAAUCAUAUAUUUAAAUAGUAAAUGAUGAAAUGUACACUUCGAGAAUCAGUCAUUAUUUCAUUAUAUUUCUUUGUUAUUACAGUUUUUACCCGUUUGAUUGGCAUGAUAAUAAACAUACGUACAACUUGAAACGUUGGUGACGUGUUUUAUUGCUGAAGGGUUUAACACGCUGGAUAGGGGGCGCCCCGUUUCCUCGAGGCCAGCACAGUAGAUAAAGAAACAAGUUCAUUUACAAGUCUAAUGCUGUUUUUAUAUAUUCUAGUGUUGUAAUAGUGCUGCGGCUGUCGCCACCGCUUGCACCGCCACCGUUAUUGUUUUUGGGUUUCGUGAGCUCAGCUAACGCUAUUGAUUGCUACGUGUGUGCGAAUUGCGAAAAACCGGAGAACAGCGAGAAUUGCGGUAUUGGAAAUGACGCAUGUUCACUCAUAGUGGAUAAUGGAAAAAAAUACCGGGCCUGUUGCACUUCAGUGGCCGAAUUCCUGAAAGAAACUACUGAAUCACAACGGUGCGACGCAGACAAUCAGGACAACUGCAUUACAUGCUGCGAUGAUAAAGAUAACUGCAACCUCGGCUGGUAUCGCUAGCAUCAAUGUCUUCACCAUAGUCACAGUUAUGCUUCUCAGUUUCUUCGUCAUGAAGCAAUAGUAGGCCUAUGUAACGUCUACGUAAUAGUGUGUAUGUCUGUAAAGUAGAGUAGUAGUAGUAGUAAUAGUUUAGGAUAAAUUUAUUAGGCUAGUCUUUUGAGUAGGGCUUAAGGUUGUAAGAAUCAACAAGUGUAUUGUCAAUGAUCAAACAAUAUCACAUUUUAUUGAAAUAAUAUUUUAAAAAUGCGUAACUAUAUGCCACUCUUAUUAUGGUAUCAUUUCUUCGAAAAUAUGUUUCUUGCUGAUUUUGAUCAAUGUUUUUAUCGAUUAAUAUUAUAAAUGAUCUAGAAGAACUUGUUUUGCAUAACGUCGUUCGUUUUAUUACGCUUUCUAGUCAAAACGGCAAUAAACGAAAACGGCAACAAUUUUUUACCAAAAUGGCAAUAGAUCAAAACGGCAAUAAGUCAAAUCGGCAAUAAACCAAAUCAGCAAUAAACCAAAACGAAACUAAUAUAAAAACAUUACAACUCAAAUAAGAUUAACCUACCAUUGUGAAAUUCAAUACCGGUAAUAAAAAGAUUGGGGGAAACAAUAUUAUAAGCAGUAAACAUUGAAAUGUUUUUUUUUUUUUUUUUAAAUGACGAUAACGAUGACGAUGAUGAAGAUUGGGAGAAAACACAAUAUAAAAGCAGAAUACAUUCAAAUUAAUAAAACUUUAAUACAAACAAAAUGAGGCAUCUAAACAAUUUGUCAUGAAUGUGUAAAAAAAAAUAAAAAAAUAAAAAACGCGAUUUAACAUUAAAAGCGAGAAAAGAGUCCAUGACCAGAGCCAGAUUAACAUAGGGAUUAUUGGGGCGCCAGUUCGGUGCCCACAGUCCCCAAUGUUGAAAAGUACGGUAGGCCCCCCCGAACCCCAGGAAAAUCACAGAAAAUUUGGUUUUAUGCUUUAUGCCACAGAGAAUUUUUAAGCCCAGGCAAUUACAGCCCCAGGCCCCACAACCUUUUAAUCCGGCCCUGCCCAUAGCAAUAUUCAAUUCCUGCAUACGAUCGGGCCAUAUAUCUCAAGAUGAUUCGAUUUGUUCAAUGUCUAUUGCCGUUUUGGUACUUGUCAUUGCUGUUUCGUUCUGUUGCCGUUUUGGUAGGCCUGCUAAUGAUUGCCGUUUUGGCUCAUUUCCCGUUUUGGUUAUUGCCGUUUUGGUUUAUUGCCGUUUUGACCUGCUACCAGGAAAUGGGGUCUAAUUAUGAUUGAAGUCUGAUUAUGAUUUCAGUCUAAAUUGUUUAGCCGAAUCCAAAGGAAGAGUGAAACUUUAGGUGAUUAUUUUGCAGAUAACCAUACACACAGUCUAAUGAUUGGAGGCGCGCACAUAAAUACAAUAUUUUGUGAAUAUAUCUUAAGGCAAGUAAUAGAAAACUAAAUCGGCAUUAUACCAAGAAGGGAUAUGUUAAGGAGUAUUACUACUACUGUAUUUUUACAAAUAGACAUAUUGUUCACUGUACUUUGAGGUGAUGUGCAAGGCUUGUUAGAAAAUCGUAGUAGCCCCUUAUUUUGUAAGAGGAAACAGAAGCUAACGAUAAAGCUGAUUCGCUAUACAAGAAGAAGCCGAUCUGCAUACUUUAUGCAGAUCGACUAUAUCAAUGCUACGCUGAAUGCUUGGGUUUAUUGCUCGUUCCGACUGUUCAGUGUACAUUGUGGUAAAGGCAAUGUUAGAACAUGUCGUUGUGUAAUAAAUGUAGCUUGCA